rnacentral:rRNA from 1 species
GAUGAACGCUAGCUACCGGUUUAACACAUGCAAGUCGAGGGGAAACGAUAGAGAAAGCUUGCUUUUUCUAGGCGUCGACCGGCGCACGGGUGAGUAACGCGUAUCCAACCUGCCGAUAACUCGGGGAUAGCCUUUCGAAAGAAAGAUUAAUACCCGAUGGCAUAGUUCUUCCGCAUGGUAGAACUAUUAAAGAAUUUCGGUCAUCGAUGGGGAUGCGUUCCAUUAGGUUGUUGGCGGGGUAACGGCCCACCAAGCCUUCGAUGGAUAGGGGUUCUGAGAGGAAGGUCCCCCACAUUGGAACUGAGACACGGUCCAAACUCCUACGGGAGGCAGCAGUGAGGAAUAUUGGUCAAUGGACGAGAGUCUGAACCAGCCAAGUAGCGUGAAGGAUGACUGCCCUAUGGGUUGUAAACUUCUUUUAUACGGGAAUAAAGUGAGGCACGUGUGCCUUUUUGUAUGUACCGUAUGAAUAAGGAUCGGCUAACUCCGUGCCAGCAGCCGCGGUAAUACGGAGGAUCCGAGCGUUAUCCGGAUUUAUCGGGUUUAAAGGGAGCGUAGGCGGACGCUUAAGUCAGUUGUGAAAGUUUGCGGCUCAACCGUAAAAUUGCAGUUGAUACUGGGUGUCUUGAGUACAGUAGAGGCAGGCGGAAUUCGUGGUGUAGCGGUGAAAUGCUUAGAUAUCACGAAGAACUCCGAUUGCGAAGGCAGCCUGCUGGACUGUAACUGACGCUGAUGCUCGAAAGUGUGGGUAUCAAACAGG